rfam:Danio rerio chromosome 4, GRCz11 reference primary assembly.
GUCUCUGUGGCGCAAUCGGAUAGUGCGUUCGGCUUUUAACUAAAAGGUUGGUGGUUCAAGCCCACCCAGAGACG